UACGAAGGGGGCUAGCGUUGCUCGGAAUCACUGGGCGUAAAGGGCGCGUAGGCGGACUUUUAAGUCGGGGGUGAAAGCCUGUGGCUCAACCACAGAAUUGCCUUCGAUACUGGGAGUCUUGAGUAUGGUAGAGGUUGGUGGAACUGCGAGUGUAGAGGUGAAAUCCGUAGAUAUUCGCAAGAACACCGGUGGCGAAGGCGGCCAACUGGACCAUUACUGACGCUGAGGCGCGAAAGCGUGGGGAGCAAACAGG
rnacentral:rRNA from 1 species